rnacentral:rRNA from 1 species
GACGAACCGAGCGAACGUUGUUCGGAAUCACUGGGCUUAAAGGGUGCGUAGGCGGGCUGCCAAGUUUGGGGUGAAAUCCUCCGGCUCAACCGGGGAAGUGCCUCGAAUACUGGCGGUCUGGAGGGAGGUAGGGGCGUGCGGAACUAACGGUGGAGCGGUGAAAUGCGUUGAUAUCGUUAGGAACUCCGGUGGCGAAGGCGGCACGCUAGACCUCUUCUGACGCUGAGGCACGAAAGCCAGGGGAGCGAACAGG